rnacentral:tRNA from 1 species
GCCCCCUUAGUUUAAUGGAUAAAAUUUAGGAUUCCGGUUCCUACGAUAGGCGUUCGAUUCGCCUAGGGGGUACAA